rnacentral:rRNA from 1 species
GACAGAGGGUGCAAACGUUGUUCGGAAUUACUGGGCGUAAAGCGCGUGUAGGCGGCUAUGCAAGUCGGGCGUGAAAUCCCUCGGCUCAACCGAGGAAGUGCACUCGAAACUGCGUAGCUAGAGUCUCGGAGAGGAAGGUGGAAUACUUGGUGUAGAGGUGAAAUUCGUAGAUAUCAAGUGGAACACCGGUGGCGAAGGCGGCCUUCUGGACGGUGACUGACGCUGAGACGCGAAAGCGUGGGGAGCAAACAGG